GCAAAAUGUUACGGUUCAGAAAUAUGCUUGUUCUGCUGUUAAUGCUGACAUCAACUCUGCUGGUAGUCACGGUGAAAACUACUAUUUCAGACGCUAAAUUACAAGCAGAUAGAAAGCAAAUUGUUGGAAGCAAAUUCCAAAACGUACCUAAUGCUUUUGACGUUUCUCAGCGACUUAUUAAUAAGGGUCAUCUUAAUCGAGUCUCUGGUGAGUCAACUGCAACACUAGGACAGUUCCCAUGGAUGGCUUUCCUCGUUUCUGACUAUGGCGAUGUUUUAAGCGGAUCCUUAAUAUCGGAUCAGUGGAUUCUCACUAUUGCAUACUACUGCUCAACGUUAAAUAAUAUGUAUAACCUGAGCUCUAUAAUCUUGGGUGUCGCAGACUAUACCUACAUUAGGCAAAAUCCAUCGACAAUAAAAAAUUAUAAUAACGGUUGCUACGUGCAUGAGCUCUACGAACCACAAAAUAUAAUAAAUGAACACGGCAUAGCUCUGAUCAAGAUGCUGCAACCUGUCAUUUUUACAGUCAACAUAAUGCCCAUACAACUUCCUUCUAUAUAUGAUGCAACGAAGGAUUAUACUAAUGUUUCGAUGACAACUCUUGGAUUUAUGAAAGUGAACAGUUGUUAUGAUUAUAAGAAAGACCGCACAUCAGCAAUCAUCUCUCUGAAGUACGAAGAAUUGCAGGGGGUUAGCUACACGGAUUGCUCUGCAAACUACAGUGUAGAAUAUGGGGUUAAUUUGCCUGAAUCCGUAAUCUGCACAAGUAAGGCCAGCUUUGGACUCUGUGAUGGUGCUGAAGGCAAUCCUUUAUUCUACAAGAACAAAAAUGGAUCUUUGAUUUUGGCGGGCAUUAUCUCAUAUAGUUCCUACUACGGUUGCAAAAGCCAAAUCUUUACCCGUGUAAGUUCUAAUCUGGAUUGGAUAUCUUCGAUAACUGGAAUGGCGCUUCCGGGAGUAUCAACUAACAUACCAAAAGCAACCACAUCUUCAAAGUUGACUUCAAGGAUUCCUUUUGGUAAUAGCUCGACCACAGGAGCACCACCAUCGACCGGUACUCCAUCAACUCUAAGAAGCACAACUUCUAACCAGUCGACCACUGGAAAGCCCUCAAAUACCACAAUUAAUACUAAACCGACCUCUAGCUCUACAAGAAAAACUACCACGACCACUAAACCUUCAAGCGCGAAGACCACCACAAAGACUACAACAAAGACAACUACCAAGACGACCACCAAGACCACAACCAAGACUAGCACCAAGACCACCCUGAAAAACUCUACAACUAAAAAAUCUAGCACCACCACCAAAAAAGCUUCUGGCUAAAAUUUACUUUGAUUUCAUGCUUUGACAUCUGUUAAUGUUUUUUAAAUACGAUCUAUAUCUAUUGGCAAAAUGACCACUUUUUAUCAAAAGAAGAGUAUUUUAUUCUAUCACAUACAUGUAUUAAGCGUAUUAAGAAGCUUGCUAGGAAAUGUCAAAAAUGAUUAAGUUGUCCAUUUAAAUUAAUAUUUUACAUAUUUUGAGUUUGGAUUGUUAUAAAAUUUGAAAUACGUAUUAUAAGGUAUGCAGAGUUCUUUGUUUGUUCUCCAGAAAAUUCAUCAAAUUAGAUCCUCUCGUGCAAUAGAUUUGAAAUGUAACGCGCGUCUAGGAUGGAAUGGAUGUACUCAACUUUUUGCGGCAAAGCCUGAUUCGAAUUUCGUUGACGACAGAGAGGGUGAUGAUCCUGCCGAGGAAAGUUACUCGAAGAAAAAUCUGCGCCCCAGGAAGACAGCUUAAAAUUAAGUAACCCCUUCGCAGCACCAGUUAAGCUAAGUGAACUAAAGCUGUUACUUUGGAAUGCAGAGUCUCUCAAAACAAUUAUUAAUCUAGUUGGUGAUAUAUAUUUUCGUGCUUUUGAUAUUGUGGUGCUGACAUAAACAUUUCUACUAAAUGACUUUUCAAUCAACGGUUUUUAUAUUAAGCAUAUCUUUGGGGUUAAAUAUGAUAGAGGUGUAUCGAUUUUUUUAUAUCUCAAAACUCGGCA